rnacentral:tRNA from 1 species
AUUCAUGUAGUUUAAACAAAACAUUUCAUUUUCAAUGAAAAAAAGAAUACACUUCCAUGAAUU